UGAUGAUAUUUUACAUUUCUGACACCUCAUAUGAAACGCUGUGAUUCAUAUUAUUUGUAAUUAAAAACUGA
rnacentral:snoRNA from 1 species